CAACUUUGUCAGCAGACUUGGAUUCUCUGGUAGCUGGAUUCCAGAGGGCGAUAGUGAAUUCUGCUUCCCUUUGGACUCCAUCUAACAGGAAAUUCAAGCCUUCUGCUUCAGUUUUGAUUGCAAAACUAACUACUACAUGCCACAACUACAUAACGGGCAGGGAACAAUCGUAUCAUUGUAGAAAGCAGACAAGGAAACACAACAUUUUGGGGAGGAUGAUGCCGCAAAUUGGGAGUACAUGCAGAAACUAGGUGCGAGAAAAGUAAGUGAUCUUACUGAGAGCUUGUGUUCGUCGACGCCCUGUACCAACACUAAAUUUGCUAGAUGGAACCUUAACUGCAUUGCCACAGGUAUAACCAGGAACCACGAGGGAGAUGUUAU